GUCAGAUUGUAGAAGGAUGUGAUAUGAAUCAAGAAGGGAGAAAAUGACUCAAGCUUCAUGCUGAGAAAGGGUACAUACAUACCCAUGACAAGGGUACAGUUCACAUUUCAGAAAUUCACUACUGAGAGAAAAAGUAAUACUUUGUAUUUUCGUGCUGUAUCUUGCUUAUCGCUAGGGUUUGUUGGAGAGUGGUGUUCUGCUAGUUCAACAUUUCUCACUGAUGCAGCCUCUUCAGGCAGCAUGAUCAGUGCACACAGAACUACAUGUAUAGACACAGCAUAUAUAUAUAUGCUCUAUGUACUGCUACGUGGAGAUGAAAACGUGUUCCUGCACCCAUGUUAUCAAGAACAGCAUGCCAAUGAUUCAGAGAAAGGUACAAAGUGCCAUUGUAAAACAGGGACAAACUAACUUAUUGAGCAAUAUGGGUGCUUUAAAAAUGUUUUGGAUUUAGUAUUUCAGUCUUUGUCCAGCUUCUCAGGGCCUCCUAAUGUUGAUUAAAUUAGUUUCUGAACCAGCCAUAUAACUAGAUUAGCCUGGACAAUGAACACAUAGCUUUCCUUACCUGAGGUUCAUGUCCCCUCUCAGUGCCAGGCUAAAGAUGUUGGAGAGGUUUCCCCCUGGGCAGCAGCCACAGAUGAGGAUGGCCAGGGAUUCUGGGGUGCCCAGCUGGAAGAGCUUGCCCAAUAUGAAUGCUGUCAAGGGCAUGAUGCUGUACUGAGCCAAUAUGGCUAUUGCCACACCUUUAGGUCUCCUGAGGUGAGCUGUGAUCUUGGCUAUCUCCAUUGUACAUCCCAGAGACACCAUGAUGACCAGGAGGACCACGAUAAGGAUUACAUUCAGGGCUGUGUCCAUAGCCUGCUGUCCAAAUGCAAGUGGUGGUGCCAGACUGGUCAGGGAGGUGCUGCUCUGCAUGCAACCUGGGCUCCAAAGUUCUGGGCUAUCAAAAGCUCCCUUGGUCUCGUUCAUCCUGCUGAGGGGUUAGGAGGUCCCUUGUUCUGUAAGUGGCUGGGAAGGUGAGGGAAGAAUUGAUUCGAAAGUCCAAAUAACAUUAAAUUAAUGGAAGCAAAACAUGAGCUCUCUUUCAGGACACCACUCUUAGCCUUCAGCACCUGUUGAAACAGAAAUCUGCAUUUAGAGCAAUCAGCUGUGAACUCCAUUCAUUUUGGAAAUAUCCUGUGCAGUUUGUGUAUCUUCUGCUCUGGUCCUCCACUUCUUCCAGCAUCCACCCUCACAAUGAGACAGCUGGUUGAGAGCAAGAAGAAGACAGCUCAAAGUGCGUACAGAAGACAGGGUGAUAACUCUACAGAAAAUGCUGUGUUCUCUCUGGGUCAUGUGAGAAGCCUCUUUGGCAUGAGCUUGUGAGAGCUGCUGUGGGCAGCAGAAGGUUGCCCAGUUGUUUGCCUAACUUCCAGCAGUGGAUGCUGUACACCUACAAAAGGCAAUUGCACCUUCAGCUGAGGGCAUGGAAGAGGGGAAGAAAGAGGCUGCUCUAACUGGCAGGUUCUCCCAACUGUGUGUCCUUCUGGCAGCUGUGUGGGUGUGAUGGGGAUUGAAGGGAUGAAACCCAGCAAUUGGCAAGGCUGCUGCAAGCUGUUUCGAGGAGGUGGCAACAAUCAUCACCUGGAAGGCAGCCCAUCUCAGAUCCAUGAUCCUCUUGCAGCUCAGGACAGCCCUGUCAUGGAUAGUCUUCUGCAUGUUCUUUUAGGCUUUUGCAGGAGCCUUAUGAAGAAACUGCAACAUCUCAGCAAGAAACUGAUUUUGCAUCAGAUACAAGCUUCAGAGAGCCUGUAAGCCCUGAGAUCCUGCCAACCCACAGGGAAUGAGUCCAGAGGGUACUGUUUGGGCAGCCAUGGAAUGCAAGAGAGUGUUCAGCUGUAGAUGCAAUAUGAAUUGUCCCUGCAGUUUAUUCUUACAUGGUUAGAGGGUGAAUGAGUUUGGAAGUGUUGGAGACAAUCAGAGAAUUAGCAGAAUGAAAUAUUAUUAUGCAUUAUUAUAAAAAAAGAGAGAAAUAUGUCUCCUGGUGCAACACUGUAUGUCCAGGGAUGAUGAUAGGUGCUGCUUUUGCAGAAAUGCCAGCUGGGAAAUAUUUGAAAGAAGGGUUUUUCCCUCAGUAAGGAAGAGACCAAGAUACAGAAAAUUCCCCCAGGUGAAGGUACCAGGGAAAGACUGGUCUAUAGUAGGGAAACCAAGGCAAUGAGUGCUGAGAGUCUGGCAGGAGAGGAGCAUAGAGUCCUGGCCAGUUUGGUCUAGAGGGCUAAGGUGUAUGUGGCUAAUCCGGUCAUGUCAGCUAUCCCACCAGUGCAAGAGAGCCACAGUGGAUCCCUUACAGUGUCCUCAGCUUACAGGAACAAGACAGGACUUGGCACCAGGGGACUCUGAAGGUAUGUCAUGGAGAGGAAGUCAACACUGAAAGACUGUGAAAAAUAAAUAUACAGAGAUGUU